CCCCGCCGCCACCCAUCCUCGCCGCCGCCGCUGCCGCCGCGGCACUCACCAUCCUCACCGCUCCACGCCCCCAACUUCGCCGACCGCUCAACGCCCCGCUCCAUGCCCUAACGUCAUCUCCGUUCCACCAUUGAAGCCUACAGAUCGAUCGUCGGCGAGAGCUCGCACGAUUCGUCGCCACCGCUGCCACUAAACCGUGCGAUUCACGCCGCCGGCUGCUCUACCGCACAAGAGGAGCUCUGCGCCAAGCGCCAUCGCCAGGAGCACUGCUUUCUCUCAGUCGAGGGUGCCAUAGUCAUCAUGCUGCCCUAAAGGUGUUUGUGUUAUUGUCCACAUGAGUUUUUCUACCUGUUCACCUGAUUAUAGAUGCAGUAGUGCGAUAACUUUAAUUUUGCCAUGUUGUUUGUGUUUGCAUUGUUUAUAACUUAGUUGAUCAAUUUUCUCAGGUUUGGCUGUACUAGACGUGGGAGAAUUUUUAUAUUAUGUUUGCAGUAACAACACUAGUUCUCUCCAUUUGGAUUAAAUAUGAUAAUUUUUGAGAAUGUUGGGGAAUCAGGGUUCAUGGUUAUAAUUGACUGAGAUCAAUCAAAUGCUUCGAUUAUCUACAAUUCAGGGUUCAUGGUUGCUCUUGAAAGGUAUCACAAUACUCUGAAAUAUGAUUUACAUAUGUUUCUCUUAGUUAGACAUAUAGCAUUGAACAAAUAAAUUGCACAAAAGAUACUGUACUCAGUGGAUUCAGAUUGCACCUUCUUUCAAAGUACGUAUGUUGCAUGUUGUGUGAACUAAAAAACUUUCAUACUCCAAGUCUGUAGUGCAAUGUAGGUUUAUAUUUCUCCUUAACCAAGAUAGUUUAUAUUGGUUAAUACACUGUCUUCAGUAGAUCCAGACCAAGCUACCAAUCGUUCUUGCUGUGAUCCUUCGAGCAUUUGCUCUGUACCUGUUUCCAGUGGAUUUUAAUUAUAGGCUACAGAAGAUUAUUCUUGCUGAAGAAGUGAAGAUGUUUCAGACCAAGUUCGUUUUCACCUUUCUUCUAGGCAGGUGAGUACAUGAACCUAGUAGCACAUGACUUGGCAACUAACUGUUCAAUUAAGAAAUAGUUACAAAACUGCCAUUUCCACAGAUCAUUGAUACAUAAGACAAGAAACAAAAAGUAUUUCAUUAAGAAGUGGUACUUGCAAUCAGCAUUUUAAAUUGUGAUUAGGGUGUGUACUUUUAUAUUUAAAAUUUAUUUAGUGAUUAGAGUUUUCCCUUGCUGAUUUCCUGUGUUUAGUGAUUUUUGUGCUUUCUAAAUGUAUCCACUCUAGUCUCCAAAACCUGGAGAUUCUUGGACUGUCAGCAUUGCUAGUAUUGUUACCAGACAAUCUUAAGUUGAAUCAAGCCAGCAUCAAAUCAUUAAACUUUUAACAGAGCUUUGGUCAUUAUUAUGAUGAUGCAAAAUACUUCAUACUACUAUAUUCUUUGACCUCUUUGUGUGGUGUAAUGAUGUGAAUGAAGAGUUCAGCUUGCUAUUUGCCACAAGUGAAGAAUGCCAUCAGAAACAAUUGGAAGCUGUUCUGCUAAGAUUUCAACUAUGUUAUCUUUGGUUAGCUGUAAACUAUGUUGUCAAAUAACAUUUCAAAUUAUUGGUGUUGGAUGAGUUUGUUUGUAAUAUGAUAUGUUGUGAUGCUAUUGAUUGGCUACAAUUACGGAUGUAACAGUAGUAAUCUGUAAUCCUACUGAUGCAAUGAUGU
rnacentral:sRNA from 1 species